rnacentral:rRNA from 1 species
GACGAACGCUGGCGGCGUGCCUAAUACAUGCAAGUUGAGCGCUGAAGGUUGGUACUUGUACCAACUGGAUGAGCAGCGAACGGGUGAGUAACGCGUGGGGAAUCUGCCUUUGAGCGGGGGACAACAUUUGGAAACGAAUGCUAAUACCGCAUAAAAACUUUAAACACAAGUUUUAAGUUUGAAAGAUGCAAUUGCAUCACUCAAAGAUGAUCCCGCGUUGUAUUAGCUAGUUGGUGAGGUAAAGGCUCACCAAGGCGAUGAUACAUAGCCGACCUGAGAGGGUGAUCGGCCACAUUGGUACGGAGACACGGCCCAAACUCCUACGGGAGGCAGCAGUAGGGAAUCUUCGGCAAUGGACGAAAGUCUGACCGAGCAACGCCGCGUGAGUGAAGAAGGUUUUCGGAUCGUAAAACUCUGUUGGUAGAGAAGAACGUUGGUGAGAGUGGAAAGCUCAUCAAGUGACGGUAACUACACAGAAAGGGACGGCUAACUACGUG